CCUACGGGGGGCAGCAGUGAGGAAUAUUGGUCAAUGGACGAGAGUCUGAACCAGCCAAGUAGCGUGAAUGAUGACUGCCCUCUGGGCUGUAAACUUCUUUUAUAUGGGAAUAAAAUGUUCAACGUGGGGGAUUUUGUCUGUACCAUAUUAAUAAGGAUCGGCUAACUCCGUGUCAGCAGCCGCGGUAAUACGGAGGAUUCGAGCGUUAUCCGGAUUUAUUGGGUUUAAAGGGAGCGUAGGGGGAUUGUUAAGUCAGUUGUGAAAGUUUUGGGCUCAACCGUAAGAUUGCUGUUGAUACUGGCAGUCUUGAGUACAGGAGAGGAGGGCGGAAUUCGAGGUGUAGCGGUGAAAUGCGUAGAUAUCACGAGGAACACCGAUUGCGAAGGCAGCUCACUGGACUGCAACUGACACUGAGGCUCGAAAGUGUGGGUAUCAAACAGGAUUAGAUACCCUGGUAGUC
rnacentral:rRNA from 1 species